GACAGAGGGUGCAAACGUUGUUCGGAAUUACUGGGCGUAAAGCGCGUGUAGGCGGCCCUGCAAGUCGGAUGUGAAAUCCCACGGCUCAACCGUGGAAGUGCAUUCGAAACUGCAGGGCUAGAGUCCUGGAGAGGAAGGUGGAAUGCUUGGUGUAGAGGUGAAAUUCGUAGAUAUCAAGCGGAACACCGGUGGCGAAGGCGGCCUUCUGGACAGUGACUGACGCUGAGGAACGAAAGCUAGGGUAGCGAACGGG
rnacentral:rRNA from 1 species